AGGUAUCAAAGAAACCUCAUAGAGUGAGAAUUGGACAGUGCGGUGUCUUUGUGGAGUGUUUGGUGGGUGACUUCAACUUUCUAUUUCCACUUGUGGCAUUUGAAAUUGCUGUCAAGUUCACUGUCUGGAUAUGUGUCUGCCAGAAAGGCCUCCCAUUUUUUGAUGUGAAGAUUUUUGCUAGGUAUAGAAUCUACCAUGUCCAUUGGGAGUUUGUUCCAGUGGUUGACCACCAUCACUGUUAAAAAGUGAGGUACUUAUACAUGGUAAUCAAGAAUCCUCCCAUGAUGCAACAUCACCAGGGCUUGAACCUUCAGGAUUGGAACAAAGACUGCUACCAUUUCAGCUACCUUGAGUCAUUCCUUCCUGCAACCUCAUCAAUGUUUUGCUACUCUAUGACUCCCCUCCAGUUUUUCAAUAUCUUACAAAUGAUGUGUAGCCAGAACAUAACAUAAUGCUGUAAUGUUUGGUAGGCAUCAUCCUACCAAAGCCAUAUUAAGAGGAACUGUGCAGGACAUGAUUCUUUACCCUAAAUAUCUCUAAAUCACAUUGGCUUCAUAUUUAUGUGCUGCUGUAUCAUGUUCCAUACAGAAUUCGUGAAAAAUGGCAACGACUUUUCAUGACAAAAUUUUAAAAAAGAAAAAAAAAGAAAUAAGCUUUAUUUCACAGGUAUCCAAAAGGAGAAGUUUGUCACUUAUAUGAAGCUGUUCUUGAAACUUCCAUAUUUUAAUUGCUGUGGGGUUUUUGUGUGUGUGUGUUUUCCCUUUUUUUCCACUUUGCCUUUUUGGGGAAGAGAAGGCAAUAUUGAAAAGAAGGAAAACUUGUGGGGGGGGGAAUGAAGAGUUUUAUGAAAACUGCCAUUUUUGAAAACAGGCAAUUUUUAAUGCAAUAUUUUUCAUUUGAAAAAUUCCAACCACCUUUACUUUCUAACUUGUGUCUAAUCUGUUGUCCACUACAACCCCUAGGUUUGUUCAUCAUUUCUUUCUUCGAGUGAAUAUCUGUGUGUUUUCCCCAGAUAUAUUAUUUUAAACUUUCCCCAUGAUGAAUAGCUGGAAUCCUAGGGUGAAA